rnacentral:sRNA from 1 species
GUCGGGCGCGGUGGCUCGCGCCUGUGACUCAGCAGCUCGGGAGGCUGAGGCAGGAGGAUUGCAAGUUCAAAGCCAGCCUCAGCAACUUUAGUGAGGCCCUAAGCAACUUAGCAAGACCCUGUCUCUA